rnacentral:rRNA from 1 species
UACGUAGGGGCCUAGCGUUGUCCGGAAUUAUUGGGCGUAAAGAGCUCGUAGGCGGUUCGUCGCGUCGGCUGUGAAAACCCGGAGCUCAACUCCGGGCCUGCAGUCGAUACGGGCGGACUUGAGUGUUGCAGGGGAGACUGGAAUUCCUGGUGUAGCGGUGAAAUGCGCAGAUAUCAGGAGGAACACCGGUGGCGAAGGCGGGUCUCUGGGCAACUACUGACGCUGAGGAGCGAAAGCGUGGGGAGCGAACAGG